GUCAGGGUGAAUCAGUCGAGACUGGAAGAGAUUCAGACUCGGAUUCAGAAACCGAGGUCGUUUUGAGAACUGCAAGUCCAGUUGUUCCAGUCAGUGGACAACAAUUUAUAGUGCCAUCAGGGCAUAUUGUGCAGCCACAAAGACAAGCUAUGGCAGCUGUCAGAAAAUUUAUUAGCCCGCCUAUCUUUCGAGUUAGUCCGGAUGAAGAUGCGUGCCAAUGGAUGGAGCAUUACGAGACAAUUUACUCCCAUAAUGGAUGGGGUGACGCCGAAAAACGUAAUAAAAUUUAUUAGCCCGCCUAUCUUUCGAGUUAGUCCGGAUGAAGAUGCGUGCCAACGGAUGGAGCAUUACGAGACAAUUUACUCCCAUAAUGGAUGGGGUGACGCCGAAAAACGCUCCCGAACGAGUAAAUGGUAAAUCUUAAACGACCGGAAGAUAUGCGAUUGCAGCGCCUCUUCCGUGGCCGAAGG